rnacentral:rRNA from 1 species
GACGAACGCUGGCGGCGUGCUUAACACAUGCAAGUCGAACGGAAAGGCCCUGCUUUUGUGGGGUGCUCGAGUGGCGAACGGGUGAGUAACACGUGAGUAACCUGCCCUUGACUUUGGGAUAACUUCAGGAAACUGGGGCUAAUACCGGAUAGGAGCUCCUGCUGCAUGGUGGGGGUUGGAAAGUGUCGGCGGUUGGGGAUGGACUCGCGGCUUAUCAGCUGGUUGGUGGGGUAGUGGCUUACCAAGGCUUUGACGGGUAGCCGGCCUGAGAGGGUGACCGGCCACAUUGGGCCUGAGAUACGGCCCAGACUCCUACGGGAGGCAGCAGGGGGGAAUCUUGCACAACGGGCGGAAGCCUGAUGCAGCGACGCCGCGUGCGUGAUGACGGCCUUCGGGUUGUAAACCGCCUUCGCCUGUGACGAAGCGUGAGUGACGGUAAUGGGUAAAGAAGCACCGGCUAACUACGUG